rnacentral:rRNA from 1 species
UAGGGAAUCUUCCGCAAUGGGCGAAAGCCUGACGGAGCAACGCCGCGUGAGUGAAGAAGGAUUUCGGUUCGUAAAGCUCUGUUGUUAGGGAAGAAUGAUUGUGUAGUAACUAUACACAGUAGAGACGGUACCUAACCAGAAAGCCACGGCUAACUACGUGCCAGCAGCCGCGGUAAUACGCAGGUGGCAAGCGUUGUCCGGAAUUAUUGGGCGUAAAGCGCGCGCAGGUGGUUUAAUAAGUCUGAUGUGAAAGCCCACGGCUCAACCGUGGAGGGUCAUUGGAAACUGUUAAACUUGAGUGCAGGAGAGAAAAGUGGAAUUCCUAGUGUAGCGGUGAAAUGCGUAGAGAUUAGGAGGAACACCAGUGGCGAAGGCGGCUUUUUGGCCUGUAACUGACACUGAGGCGCGAAAGCGUGGGGAGCAAACAGGAUUAGAUACCCUGGUAGUCCACGCCGUAACGAUGAGUGCUAGGUGUUAGACCCUUUCCGGGGUUUAGUGCCGUAGCUAACGUAUUAAGCACUCCGCCUGGGGAGUACGACCGCAAGGUUG